CACGUAGGGGGCGAGCGUUGUCCGGAAUUAUUGGGCGUAAAGAGCUCGUAGGCGGUCUGUCGCGUCGGUCGUGAAAACUUGGGGCUUAACCCUGAGCUUGCGGUCGAUACGGGCAUGACUGGAGUUCGGCAGGGGAGACUGGAAUUCCUGGUGUAGCGGUGAAAUGCGCAGAUAUCGGGAGGAACACCAGUAGCGAAGGCGGCUCGCUGGGCCAUUCCUGACGCUGAGACGCGAAAGCUAGGGGAGCGACAGG
rnacentral:rRNA from 1 species